AGCGAAGCCUCGCGGUAGGCAGGGGGUGCCGCGAGCCUCAGAAGCGGAGAACCGACCCCGCACACGCAGGCGCUGCCUACCUCGGCCCCGGCGGCUGCAGGCCCCACCCGGACGGCGGAUGCGCGACUUGGAGCUGCCUUCCCCUCCUCCUGGGACUGAAUGCAAUGCUGAAGAGAACCACAUGAGGGCGCCAGAACCACAUGGUGAUGUCCUGCUGCCUGGUGGGACCACAGGUUCCUUCAGAUUGUCCCCCCCAAACAGAGAUGACAUCCGUUGCUGCUGCCCUGGGAUGCUCCUACUCAGGAGGGAGCCAAUGAGAAAGAAUUGGCUCCAAAACUCUGUCAGAGAACAGCCACCCCAACGCUGGUCUUUCUAGAGCUGUGUUGGCCAAGGAAGCAGGAAGGUUCCUUUUUUCCUGUAACAAUCCACCUUUGGGGGAUGAUGGCAGAACCUCAGCAUCUGCAAGCAGAAGGCAAUCAAACGAGAUUCCUGGUUGCAGUUUACAGAAAUAAAACCUGCGUGUUCAACAAGGUGCAUUUAAACAAAACACUUGUAUAUUAAAAGCUUUACAUUAAAUAUACAUCAAUAUUCAAUUUACCACACAGAAUUAGAACUUUACAGGACACUUUUUCAGCCAUAGGUGGCUGGCACAAAGCUCCUGGCAUUGACAUAACAUCUCUGAGAGGGGAUAGAGGCCAAGGGCUGCCACUGUGCCAGAGAGUGCCUGAGUGGGGUCUUUGUGGGGUUCUGGAAGAUGCUCCUACACUUAAGACUCUGGGCCAUGCUAGCUCCCUCUGGACAACUUGCCCCAUUCGGUCUUUGCUGGUAAGCAUUUCUGGAAAGGUGAAGAGACAGACGAGGCAGUUUACUGGAUACAGCCUAAUUCUAAAUGCCAGCUUGCCCCGCCUCCCUGGUUUCUGCAUGCACUGCCUCUAGGGGAGCAAAUGGUAAGCCUGGCCUUCUGUUUCUGCUAGGCCUUUGGUCAAGUGACAGCAACCACUUCUGAGGGAGUGCCUUGAAGAGCCAGCCAGAGCUUGGUGUUCAAAAUCUUAAAAUGAGAUUCUCUGGGUCCUGGGACUGUAGUAGAAGCAGAGUCCACCAAGGGCUCCACCUAUUGAUGGGAGGCCAUUGACUCGCUCUGGCCACCAAGGGGUACCAGCCUAGAGAUGCCCUGGGAGGAGUCGCACCGCUCAGCUCUGACUGGCCUAGCCUUCCCGAAGAAGAGCCUUUUCACCACUUUCCCAUGAAGGCCUUCCCUGUGAGCCUCUCUCCAGAAGGUGUUAGCAUUCGUGAUUAUUCUGACGGGGACCCUCACACUGACAGGCAGGUGGGCCCUCUCUCCCCACAAAGCCUCCUUUCUUUCUGUGGAUGCCAUCUUUUUGGUGUGGGGGGGCGGGGGGGCAGUGCUGCCCAAAAGGGCCCUGACUCUUCAGCACUCAAGGACUGAGCCAUUGAAGUAGUGGGUCAUUGUGAUCAAUAAUGAAGCCAGCAAAGGAGGGAAAGAAAAGGAAAAAAAGAAAGUCCUGUGGCUCUGAGCAAUGAGGCCUGUUAGUGGCUGGAGGUUGUAUUCUGAGACAAAGUGCUGAGGGCGAGAUAUUGUGUGGCAGGGAGAUUUUUUUUUUUUCCCCUCAAAGAAAUCCAGCUUAAACAUCCCCCCACCCCAUUAAUUGGUAGCAGAUGAAAAAAAAAAUCAAAACAAAAACCAAACCAACACCACUAACCUGAAUAUGAGUGUUUUUGAAAGGGAAAAGCUGUUUCAAUUGUUAGAUGUCCAAGAAAACAUGAAUACACGCCGACAGAGGAAACGGCCACAAUUAGAGGAAGAAGAGGGAGAGGUUCAUAAAAUUAAGGAAAAAAAUUCCUUUUAGCAGCUCUCAUCCUGUAAGCUGGCUCCUCUGCCGGCCUUGGUCCUUCAGGGGAACUGGUGGUUGGGCCUCCCGGGGAACCUGGAGGAAGUGGAAGCAGGAGAAGGAAGGGCCCAGGAAUCCCUUAGAAGAGCAAAGGCAAGGUCCGAAGGCAAAGUAGCCUCACUUUUCCUCAGACCACAGGCACCACAGAGCCUUUUCUGAAGAGAAAUCUGCUCUGGAAGAUUAUCUCCUGGGAAGUCAUGAGUCUCCUGUACUGCUGGAGCCUGCAGCCUCAGGAAGUGCCCCAUAAAAAUUGGGCUUCCUGGUGGAAGAGGAGCUAAUGCGAGGUCUCACCCAGGCCCGGGUCCAGGAGCUACCUCCGGUCUCCCCAACCUCUAACUAGAUCCUUGCGGAUCCAGUCUUUUUUGGCACUUCUGUUUGGUCAAGUGCCAAGUCCUUACUCAUUUUCUCAUUCACAAAAAAAAAGAAAAGAAAGAAAAAGAAAAAAAGGAACACUUGAAUCACUCUAGGUAGUCUUUUGCUUCAACAGAUGUUUCAGAAAAUGCAAAACAGGCAAAAGGUCAAGAUUGAGUCUUGAGACUAGACCCAGGGCACGGCCAAUGUGGUAAUUACAAGGUAGAUUGGUCAGUGGGAGCCACAGGUGGGAGAGGCUGGGAGCCACCUGGACUGAUGGAUGAGGGCCUGGGAGGAUGACUCAAGAGGUGGACCAAACAGAAAGACCGUUUGCCAAGGACACAGCUUUGGCCACAAACCUCUAAAAUUCAUGGCAGCCACUUAAAGGAACACGGCUUUUAGUCCUGCUCUGCCUCGGCUUGACAGGCAAGUCCUUGUCCUUUGCUGAGCCUGUCUCCUUAUCUGAACAGUGAGCCUGAAACAUCUCUGAAUCUCUGGCAGUGUUGAACGUCUAGACCUUGCUGGUGACGUUCAAACUUGGCCCCUUGUGCCGGGGACAGCGGUCACCAAACUUCCAUUUCAUUCAGAUCAGCUAGGUAGGCAGGCUGAUGUGUGCUUGGUGAAGGCGCUGAAAUUUGAAACUCAUAUCAUAGCUGGAUCCCUUGCACCUCCUUCAGUAGAUGGAAGUCAUACCUUUCAUGCAGCUUGUGGGAUUCCUUUAUUUCUUUCAUCCACGUUUAACCAUAGAGUGGUAGUGGGUGGGUGGGAAAGGAAGGAGAACUGAAUAAUGGCAACCUCACAGCCUUGCGAGGGUCUUGAA